GGGGGGGGUCAAAAAAGGGGUAAUUAUUUUUUUUCGUUUAAGGAAUAAGGGGAAAAAAGGUUAAAAAACUAGGGUUUCCAUUUUAAUAGACAAAUAAUUGAGUAAAGAACAUUAUUUAAAAGCAGUGUAAGGUUGGUAAUUCAAACUCAUUUAAAUAUCUCACCUGCACUAUGUUUGAAUUAUGUAAAUUGGAAAUUUGCCAAUUAUUUUAGUAUAAUAAACUUCAUUGGAAAUUUGCCAAUUUUAUAUUGGAAAUUUACCAAUAGUUUGUUUAUUUUUAGCUAUGACUAUGAUGUCAUUUUCUAUUUAAUUUUAAGGUUACAAAUUAAUUUCAGUUUUAAAUAUUAUUGUAAAAUGUUUGCCCAAAACAUUUAUUAAUAAGUGGCCAAAAAAGGGGGCAAAAAUAAGCAUUUUUUUAGUUUCCAGACAUUAACUUGUGUUCAAGUGUAUGGAUUUCUCUGAAAUUGUACUUAAAGGUACCAUACCACAAAGGGAAGUGGGUCAAAAAAUUUUGGGGGGGGGAUUUUUUUUCCUAUUUUUUUUCUUUAAAAUUUUCCAUUUUAAGUUGGUUAAUUCUGAUCACAAAGAGAAAGUUGGAAUUGAGUUUGGGGGAUAAUUGCUCAAAUGUUUAGGAAUAAGGGGCUAAAAAAGGGGUUAAAAAUAAGCAUUUUUUUUUAGUUUCCAACAAUUAAUUGUGUUUAAGUAAUUGGAUCUCUGUGAAAUUGUACUGCAAGGAACCAUACCACAAACUGUAGGCUGGGAUUGAGUUUGGGGGUGCGUGAUGUGUGAAAAUUUUCCACUUAAAGUUGGUUAAUUAUUUCUGAUUUAGAUAUAAAAGCAAAUAAUAAUGAUGUGGUUUGAUUUUAUCAAAAACUUAAAUUGAAGUUAUGUAUAUUGUAAAUUUAGGUUACAUUGGAAUUUAAGAAUUGGCUUUGGGGUAGGGUUAUGGCUCAAACCUUUAAAUAAUAAGGGGAAAAAAGGUGAAAAAACAAGGGUUUCCAGGUUAAUAGACAAAUAAGUACAAAACAUUAUUUAAAAGCAGUGUAAGGUUGGUAAUUCAAACUCAUUUAAAUAUCUCACUUACACUGCUUUUAAAUUAUGUAAAUUGGAAAUUUGCCAAUAACUUUAUUGUUAAUAAAUGCAUUGGAAAUUUGCCAACAAUUUUAGUAUAAUAAACUUCAUUGGAAAUUUGCCAAUAUAAAAUUUUGCUGAUGAAGGUUUUUUGUUUACCUUUAGCCUUGACUAUGAAGUCAUUUUCUAUUUUUAUAGCCUUAUGAUGUAGUUGAAUUAUUUAAUACUUUUAUGAUGUGUUUAAAUGGGGUUUUAUGGUUGCAAAUUUAUUGUUUUAGUUUAAUAAACUCCAUUUAAAAUUUGGUAAUAAAAAAAAAUUUUGUUUAUUUUUAGCUAUGA